UGGAUACGAGAUGCUACGGCAUCGAAGCAGUCUAUGUCAUACUUCCAAGAAAAGCUUGCACUGUCAUAAACAAAUAAUGCCUGUACCAUAACCGACACAGGUGGGUAGGUAGAGUAUACUGAGGGGCGCGAGAUAACUCUCUCUAAGGAACUCGGCAAAAUGACUCCGUAACUUCGGGAGAAGGAGUGCCUUAUUUUAUAAGGUUGCAAUAACAAGAUCCAAGCAACUGUUUACCAAAAACACAGGUCUCCGCUAAGUCGUAAGACGAUGUAUGGGGGCUGACGCCUGCCCAGUGCCAGAAGGUUAAAGAAGUUGGUUAGCAUUAGCGAAGCUGAUAACUGAAGCCCUGGUGAACGGCGGCCGUAACUAUAACGGUCCUAAGGUAGCGAAAUUCCUUGUCGGGUAAGUUCCGACCCGCACGAAAGGCGUAAUGAUUUGGAUACUGUCUCGGAGAGGGGCUCGGUGAAAUAGACUUGUCUGUGAAGAUGCGGACUACCUGCACCAGGACAGAAAGACCCUAUGAAGCUUUACUGUAACUUGAGAUUGAAAUUGGACUUUAUCUGCGCAGUAUAGGUAGGAGACGUUGAAAAUAUUCUUGCGGGAAUAUUGGAGUCAUCAGUGAGAUACCACUCUUAUAAUGUUAGAUUUCUAACUUUGUAUCAUUAUCUGGUCAAAGAACAGUCUCAGGCGGGCAGUUUGACUGGGGCGGUCGCCUCUCAAACGGUAACGGAGGCGCACAAAGGUUUCCUCUGAACGUGUAGAAAUCGUAUCUAGAGUGUAAAGGCAUAAGGAAGCUUGACUGUGAGACCUACAAGUCGAGCAGGGACGAAAGUCGGUCUUAGUGAUCUGACGGUGCUGAGUGGAAAGGCCGUCACUCAACGGAUAAAAGUUACUCUAGGAUAACAGGCUGAUCUCCCCCAAGAGUUCACAUCGACGGGGAGGUUUGGCACCUCGAUGUCGGCUCAUCGCAUCCUGGGGCGGUAGUACGUCCCAAGGGUUGGGCUGUUCGCCCAUGAAAGCGGUACGCGAGCUGGGUUCAGAACGUCGUGAGACAGUUCGGUCCAUAUCCGGUGUAGGCGUUAGAAUAUUGAGAGGAGCCUUCUUUAGUACGAGAGGACCGAGAAGGACAUACCUCUGGUGUACCAGUUAUCGUGCCAACGGUAAACGCUGGGUAGCUAUGUAUGGAGAGGAUAACCGCUGAAAGCAUCUAAGUGGGAAGCCCACCUCAAGAUAAGUA
rnacentral:rRNA from 1 species